GGGGUCACUUAUUUGAGGACCGAGCACAAAGUCAUCUCGAAGCCACCACAUCAGCUCCUGUUUUGAGAGAGAGCAUCCUACAUCAGGAUGAUUCAAGUAGCAUGGCACAAUCUAUGAGGAGCCAGUGGUGGACUAGAAGUCGACCACAAGUCACAAAUCCUCAGACAAGCUUCCUUGAACCUCCGAAUUUCAACAGCAAUCCUCAUGAUUAUUAUGAGAAUUUCUCUGACAGAAGUCGACCACAAGUCACAAAUCCUCAGACAAGCUUCCUUGAACCUCCGAAUUUCAACAGCAAUCCUCAUGAUUAUUAUGA
rnacentral:misc_RNA from 1 species